rnacentral:rRNA from 1 species
UACGUAGGGGGCAAGCGUUGUCCGGAUUUAUUGGGCGUAAAGAGCUCGUAGGCGGUCUGUUGCGUCGGCUGUGAAAACCCGGGGCUCAACCCCGGGCCUGCAGCCGAUACGGGCAGACUAGAGUUCGGCAGGGGAGACUGGAAUUCCUGGUGUAGCGGUGAAAUGCGCAGAUAUCGGGAGGAACACCGGUGGCGAAGGCGGUUCUCUGGGCCUUACCUGACGCUGAGGAGCGAAAGCGUGGGGAGCGAACAGG